rnacentral:rRNA from 1 species
ACUUCCGCAAGGACACUCGUAGAGGUGCUGCAUGGCUGUCGUCAGCUCGUGUCGUGAGAUGUUGGGUUAAGUCCCGCAACGAGCGCAACCCUUGUCUGCUGUUGCCAUCAGGUAAUGCUGGGCACUCUGCAGAGACUGCCGGUGAUAAACCGGAGGAAGGUGGGGAUGACGUCAAGUCAGCAUGGCCUUUAUGUCUGGGGCUACACACGUGCUACAAUGGCCGAUACAAACCGUCGCAAAACCGCAAGGUGGAGCUAAUCGGAGAAAAUCGGUCUCAGUUCGGAUUGUAGGCUGCAACUCGCCUGCAUGAAGUUGGAAUCGCUAGUAAUCGCGGAUCAGCACGCCGCGGUGAAUACGUUCCCGGGCCUUGUACACACCGCCCGUCACAUCACGAAAGCCGGUUGUACUAGAAGUCGCCACAUCAACCCGCAAGGGAGAGAGGCGCCUAAGGUAUGGUCGGUGAUUGGGGUGAAGUCGUAACAAGGUAAGCGUAGAUGA